AGCGAACGCUGGCGGCAGGCCUAACACAUGCAAGUCGAACGGACCCUUCGGGGUUAGUGGCGGACGGGUGAGUAACACGUGGGAACGUGCCUUUAGGUUCGGAAUAGCUCCUGGAAACGGGUGGUAAUGCCGAAUGUGCCCUUCGGGGGAAAGAUUUAUCGCCUUUAGAGCGGCCCGCGUCUGAUUAGCUAGUUGGUGAGGUAAAGGCUCACCAAGGCGACGAUCAGUAGCUGGUCUGAGAGGAUGACCAGCCACAUUGGGACUGAGACACGGCCCAAACUCCUACGGGAGGCAGCAGUGGUGAAUCUUGCGCAAUGGGCGAAAGCCUGACGCAGCCAUGCCGCGUGAAUGAUGAAGGUCUUAGGAUUGUAAAAUUCUUUCACCGGGGACGAUAAUGACGGUACCCGGAGAAGAAGCCCCGGCUAACUUCGUGCCAGCAGCCGCCGUAAGAC
rnacentral:rRNA from 1 species